CUUUAUGCAGUGCUGUAUUACAAGCCUUUGUAUUAUAUUUGUUCAAAGAAUAGUGUUUGUAUCUUUAUACAAAGGAACUAAUCUGCACCCCAAAAAGAUGAGACAGAAUGAUGAGGGUUAACAUAAGAUUUACAAGUUCAUUAAACACAAGCUUCAGAGGUUUGAAUGUGUAAAGGACACACGUUGAUUUCAUUCAGUUCUGCUUUGCAAAGUAUGUUUUGUUUUGCAAAUCUUGCGGACGGCACUGCAGACUUUUCAGAAAAGAGAAGCAUUCUCAAACCAACCUAACAAGAUGCUUUUAAAACAAUUUCUAACAACCUUCCGUGCAAUUCUGAGCAAAUCUGCCGUUUACAGCUCUGUCCCGAUGAGUCUUUUGUUGUUUUUACUGGAGGUGUUGAUCAAACAAGAAUUUUCAUGCCCGUGCGGAUAUGAAGGGAUUAACUGGAUAAUAACAUCCAUCUUCGUCGGACCUUCUCUUUUCACGUGUGCCUUAAUGUUCGUCCUGCUAAGAUUUUGCAGAUCUGGAUCCUGUGGACUAAAUAAAGUGGAAGGUGAUCAGAUGAGUUUUCCCGAUGCUUUUCUGCAGUGUCUGAUUCCGCCUUUUAUAUGGAUCAUCAUCUUGUUUCUUGAUGGUGAUUACGUGGCUUGUGGCUCGACAUCGUGGAAAGGAAAUUAUGUUUUUGAUGAAGAGCUAAACCGAAUGUGGUGUAAACCUGCUCCACGGGCCCGUGCAGGAAAAGAGAGCGACCUGCGACAGAAGUAUCACGUGUUCAUCUACAAAUCUAAGGCUCUAGGCUAUGCAGUCAUCACGUUUUUGAGUCUUUUAAUCAUCAUAGUGGGUUUAUAUGAGUGCUGCUGCUUCAGAAGACGUCCAGAGACACAGAAGGCACUGCAGGGAGGAGGACAGCAGCCCAAAACACAUGUUCCUGUUCCCAACUUCACCCCUUCAGAAGGGAGUGGACUAAAAGAAGAAGAGUCGUGAAACACUAUAAACUGUUUUCUAGUUAUGUUUUGGUAGAUUACAGAAUAGUGAAGAUGUGUGACAAAGAAGGCAACCAUUCACAAAACCGAACUUGGUUUAACAAGAAAGUAAAAUGCAAGGUCAUCACCUAUACUCAACAUGUUGGAACAGAACUACAGACGUUACAAGAAAAAGAAGCAAGAGAGAAGAAGCCCAGACGAUGCCUUCAUCUAAAAAUCUUUUAAAGAACUUGCGUGUAUUUCUGGACAGAUCUGCUGGUUUCAGUUCCUUUCCAGUGAGCCUUUCGUUAAUUGGCGUGGAGUCGUCGAUGGAACCAAAGCUUUUAUGUCCAUGCAGUCUUUGGUGGAAUAUAGGGCUGAUAACACUCAUCUUCAUUGGACCUUUUGUUUUUAAUGUUGCAUUAAUGUUCAUCCUGUUAAGACCCUGUACAUGUACUGUACAUGUAGAUGUAAAGAAAACAUACAAAUACUGUAUCCAAGUUUCAUUGCUGUCGAUAUUUGAAAAGACGGAGCAUUUAAUGUCUGAUUCCGAAGUGAUGCUUCAUGUUUUAUGUAUUACAUGUAUUCCCCGACUGCAAUCAGCAAUUUUUAUUUUGUCUUUAAUAGCAAAAUUGUGCUAUCAUUUUUCUGUUUGGUAGUUUGAAUACAAACCACGUGCCUGUUAAUGUGCAAUAAAGAG